rnacentral:rRNA from 1 species
CGCGUAGGCGGUGGAACAAGUCACAUGUGAAAUACCAGGGCUCAACUCUGGGGGGUCAUGUGAAACUGUUUUACUUGAGUGCAGUAGAGGGAAGCGGAAUUCCUGGUGUAGCGGUAAAAUGCGUAGAGAUCAGGAGGAACACCGGUGGCGAAGGCGGCUUUCUGGGCUGUAACUGACGCUGAGGCGCGAAAGCGUGGGGAGCAAACAGGAUUAGAUACCCUGGUAGUCCACGCGGUAAACGAUGGAUACUAGGUGUGGGGGACAUACAACCUCUGUGCCGGAGCAAACGCAAUAAGUAUCCCGCCUGGGGAGUACGGUCGCAAGACUGAA